AGAAGCUUAACAGAGUAUAGUUUAUUAGCUUCAAAAUUCCCGAGGUUCAGUUUUGUAUUCUUCCGAAGUUCUGUUUACUAUUUCUUCUGAAAUUCAGUUCAAAGUCAUGUAAAAUCAAAAUUAGAAACUUCACAUUCUCCAUAUUCCGUGGCAGCCCCCUGCAGCUGCAACUUGUCCAGCUGCACGAGGUGACAAAUUGCUUGACGGAAACACACAGGGUUGCUCCUUUUGCGAGCAUCUAACAGCACUUCUGCGCGUGUUGCGCGUAUUUGAUGCUUACCGUAGAAUUAUUUUCUGCUAUGGAACCAGCCAUCAGAACUUAUAAUGAACCCAACUAGUCCACGUUUCUUGUGCUGAUUGGUCUUGAUGGUGUGUACCUUUUCUCAUCGAUUUGCCAGUAGCAAUUUAGAAGUUCACAAUUCUCUUGUUACGAAGUUCAGUCUGCAAAAACGCGACAUUCAUGAAAAAUUUAGUACAAAAAAAGUAGAAAGAAGUUCACUCUUCGAAUUUCAGAAGUUUGCUUUAUAAAACCUUGAUGUAUAAGUUUCUUUGUAUAUCUUUUUCUUGAUGUGUUUAGAUACCUGAUAGUAUUGCCAAUCUCAUCCAGCAUCAUCUUUCAUAUCCCUAAUAAACUGUUGUGAAGCUUUUUUCAUGCAGCUUUUUGAUGCUUUACAGUUGAGUAAAGAAACUAUGAGAACAGUGAAGCAAAAUAUUUGGUGGGAUUUUCUGUAUAAUAUUGGGAGUUCACUUCUGCCGAAGGAAAAGUUCAGAUUUUUCAGCGGAAUAGUUUGAUUCAUAAUCAGCUAGCUAUUUUAUUAAUCAACUAGUUAUUCAUUUAUUGGAACGUAAGAUGCACAUAGCCAAGGAAGUGCACCCUCCCUUGGCUCCGCAAUGCUCUACAAGGCAACGGGAGUCCACCUAACGCUGCCCGGGAGUCUACUAGCGCGGGAUCGACUGGAGGCACCCAUCCCCCUUCCCUGGCUUGUGCCACCAGGGAGACCACCCACGCCUACUCCCACGGUCCUAUGUGCGCGGCUAGGAAGUCCACCAACGUGAGGCGCUGGGAACACCGUCCCUGCACCAGCGCAACCUCUUGCGGUUCCAGGGUGACGACGACAUGAGUUGCUGCAGUUUCCAGGUCAUGUGCCGUCGUGUUCACGAGGAACACUACUUGAUCGAGCCUCCUAUGCUAUAUCUAAGACGUGAAAUGAUCCUAUAUCCAAGGACAUAAACAUGGUGCCAGCCCCGCCCUUCUUCCGGCUAGUGGACGCGGCUUGGCGGUCCCUCGGUGUCCAUGGCGUAGUCAAGCCCGACUGUCAUGCGGCGGGCGAGUCCGCUCCUGGAGAAUCACCAGGCAUUAAAAGAGCAAUGUGCACGACGUUAAUACUGAUGAAUCGAAUCGGGCAGAUUGGCAGAGCAAGUGCUAGUACUGAAGUUUCUGUGACUCUAGCUAGUAAACAGUAGAAGAUGAAGCUGAGCGUGAUUGUCAAGCAUGUGUGACUGCUCUUUCUACUUUGGUCUCAAGUCUGAUGACAUUUUGGUGUUUGAGCGUUCCUGCAACAUGCAGAAGCGUGUUUUGUACUUCGUCUAGUACUGUGUACUUCGUUUGAGCUGUAGUGUUCAAUUUUCCUAUCUCUGAA